rnacentral:rRNA from 1 species
AGAGUUUGAUCCUGGCUCAGAACGAACGUUGGCGGCGUGGAUUAGGCAUGCAAGUCGAACGAAUCCCGGUUGGGGGUAACCCCGGCCGGGGGAAGUGGCGAAAGGGGCAGUAAGGCGUGGGUAACCUACCCCGAGGAUCGGGAUAGCCCUUCUAACGGGGGGGUAAUACCGGGCGUGGUGCGGUAUCCGCAUGGAUGCCGCAUGAGAUGAAUUUCGCCUCGGGAGGGGCUCACGUGGUAUUAGCUUGUUGGUGGGGUAACGGCCCACCAAGGCGAAGAUGCCUAGCAGGUGUGCGAGCACGACCUGCGCCACUGGCACUGAGACACUGGCCAGACUCCUACGGGAGGCUGCAGUCGAGGAUCUUCGGCAAUGGGCGCAAGCCUGACCGAGCGACGCCGCGUGCGCGAUGAAGGCCUUCGGGUUGUAAAGCGCUGUCGAGGGGGAGGAAAGCCGCAAGGUCUGACCUAUCCCUGGAGGAAGCACGGGCUAAGUUCGUGCCAGCAGCCGCGGUAAGACGAACCGUGCGAACGUUGUUCGGAAUCACUGGGCUUAAAGGGCGCGUAGGCGGCUUGCUCAGUCCGAGGUGAAAGCUUUCGGCUCAACCGGAAAAGUGCCUUGGAGACGGGCAAGCUCGAGGGAGGUAGGGGCAGGUGGAACUUCCGGUGGAGCGGUGAAAUGCGUUGAUAUCGGAAGAAACGCCGGUGGCGAAAGCGACCUGCUGGACCUUCUCUGACGCUGANGCGCGAAAGCCAGGGGAGCGAACGGGAUUAGAUACCCCGGUAGUCCUGGCCCUAAACGAUGGGUACU